GACGAACGCUGGCGGCGUGCUUAACACAUGCAAGUCGAACGGAAAGGCCCUGCUUUUGUGGGGGGCUCGAGUGGCGAACGGGUGAGUAACACGUGAGUAACCUGCCCUUGGCUUUGUGAUAACUUCAGGAAACUGGGGCUAAUACCGGAUAGGAGCUCCUGCUGCAUGGUGGGGGUUGGAAAGUGUCGGCGGUUGGGGAUGGACUCGCGGCUUAUCAGCUUGUUGGUGGAGUAGUGGCUUACCAAGGCUUUGACGGGUAGCCGGCCUGAGAGGGUGACCGGCCACAUUGGGACUGAGAUACGGACCAGACUCCUACGGGAGGCAGCAGUGGGGAAUAUUGCACAAUGGGCGGAAGCCUGAUGCAGCAACGCCGCGUGCGGGAUGACGGCCUUCGGGUUGUAAACCGCUUUCGCCUGUGACGAAGCGUGAGUGACGGUAAUGGGUAAAGAAGCACCGGCUAACUACGUG
rnacentral:rRNA from 1 species